rnacentral:tRNA from 1 species
GCCUUUGUGGUGUAAUGAUAGCACACUUGGCACGUAUUCUAAAGGUUCAGGGUUCGAGUCCCGGCGAGGGCA